rnacentral:misc_RNA from 1 species
UUUCCACAAAGUCCUCCUG